GCUCUACAAAUCUUUGAAAUGGAGAAAAUGAAAUCAAUUUACAAAAGAAGUCAUUUCACAAUUUGGAACCAAUUUAAUUACUCAUAAAAGAGUAUAAUCAAGCUACGACUCACAAGUCUUUAAAAUAGAGGAAAUGAAAUCAAUUUACAAAAGAAAUCAUUUCACAAUUCGGAAUCAAUUUGAUUACUCAUCAACCCCUCGUAAUUCCUCUCAAUGUUCCCUCAAAUGUAUGUACAGAAUAAUCAAGCAUGGAGAAUCAAGAUUAUAGAGGAAUCUACUACAACAAUUAAUCAAUAGGCUCAGGUGGAAUCAAGUCACACUUGGCAACAUUCAUGAAA
rnacentral:lncRNA from 1 species